rnacentral:rRNA from 1 species
AUUGAACGCUGGCGGCAUGCCUUACACAUGCAAGUCGAACGGUAACAGGUCUUCGGAUGCUGACGAGUGGCGAACGGGUGAGUAAUACAUCGGAACGUGCCUAGUAGUGGGGGAUAACUACUCGAAAGAGUGGCUAAUACCGCAUGAGAUCUACGGAUGAAAGCAGGGGAUCGCAAGACCUUGUGCUACUAGAGCGGCCGAUGGCAGAUUAGGUAGUUGGUGGGAUAAAAGCUUACCAAGCCGACGAUCUGUAGCUGGUCUGAGAGGACGAUCAGCCAUACUGGGACUGAGACACGGCCCAGACUCCUACGGGAGGCAGCAGUGGGGAAUUUUGGACAAUGGGCGCAAGCCUGAUCCAGCAAUGCCGCGUGCAGGAUGAAGGCCUUCGGGUUGUAGACUGCUUUUGUACGGAACGAAAAGCCCUGGGUUAAUACCCUGGGGUCAUGACGGUACCGUAAGAAUAAGCACCGGCUAACUACGUGCCAGCCGCCGCAGUAACAC